CCAAUGGCUUUUUGGUUUUAUGAGUAAAUGCCACUGGCAUGACAUUAAGUAAGUGGCCUCAGAAAGCCCUCAGCCAGGGCUAUAACCUAUUAUCAUCAGGUUAUAGAGGAGCUGUCUCUUGAGGAGAGCAAAAGAUGGAGGUGUAAACUUUUCAUCCGACCUGGCCCAUUGCUUUAGCUGCUCACUGGUGACCUGGUCUCCAAGACCUUUCCAAACAUCUGCUACAUCUUUUCCCAGAUCACAGAAAGAGGUAGCAGACUGGAUUUGGCCCAUGAGCCCUAUUUGCAAAUCCCUACCCUACAUCUUUGGACAGAAUGAACACCAGAGGAAGACAGAGGGACAUAUCUAAAAUCCUUCCUGCUGUGAAGAAUGAUACUGUCGGUUUUUCUGAGCAAUCGUCCUGAGAUUUUCAGACUUCUCUUUAAGUACGUAUUGUGGUCACUGCUGGACUCCAGAAUUGCUGAAAUGCUGAUACGGUGUUGUGCUCAUUCCUCUUCCCCAUUAACUGUGCUCUCUGAGUAUCUCUAGCUCAAAGGAGGACAGGGAGGAAUCUCUUAAUGGAAGCAUGUCAAGCAGUGCCACAGCCCGUUUGGAAUUUAAAAUUAUCCAUGAAUAAUUCACAAAGCAUGUAACCCAUGUGCAGAUCCUUGGGAACUGAUGCUUCUGAGAGGUGCCUGCACGGUCAGCCAAGCAGCCUUCCAACAACAGGAACAACAACGGAAUGAUUACAGAAGUGCGUCCUCAAUUCUUGGCAUCAGUUCACGGUUAAUGAAGGCAAGAGCGCUGUAGGUUGACUCUGAGUCCAAAGGUAUUCUCAGACUGGAAAAACAGAGUCUCUUGGAAAGGAAAACCUGAACUGUUCCUACAGGCCAAGAUGACUCGCACAUGUCCAGAGAUACCUAGAGCAGGCAUCCAGGACUGAACUUUCUUACCCAAACAAAAGGGUUCUGAGAUCAAACCCGCCAUUUUUAAUUUAGAAGACAAAGAAAUCAGGGCAAAGCUCACUCUCAGAUGGGUAAAUACGUUGGAGGACCCUGAGCUGACUUCAGCACCCUUAUUCAAAAGCCUGGCAUUAUGAGCAAGAGGGUUAAUGUUGGCUCCCCUCAUAGGAGUGGGCUUCCCUGGGAGCCCCAGCUCUGUUUCAUCCAGAAGCUCCAAGCCCCCUGGGGACUGGCAAUGGGAAGUAACCACAAUCCUGUGCUUUGGAGGAACUUUCACAGACUGAACUUCGCCUGACUUAACUAUAGGGAUGCUUAGUUUUCCUGUAUCAGUUAAUGAAGUAUAGAUCUGAGCAUUUUCAACCAAGGAAAGAAAGACCCUCUUGGGCUAAAGGCAGCUUUCAAGGUGGAAAACCAAAUGGGGUAUGAGAAGUGUCAGAUCUCUUGUCUUUAAUUAAGAAGACAGCUAAACGACGAAUCUUGGAAUACUGAAAAAAUUAAAUUAAAUUUAAAAAAAGGAAAAAGAAAAAGACAGCUAGACCCUCACAAGCUGUUCAUUUUCAGGGGAUUUCAUAGGUCCCUGGCCAGAAACCAACCCGGAUCAUAGAAAGAGCAACCUCCCCUCCCCUUUAAAGGAUUUUCUUUUAAAGAAAGAGCUUUAGUCAUCUGGGUUUUGUCUAUCCAAAGAAUAUUCUUUCUUGUCCUGAAGUUAGCAUAAAAGAAUGUGCCGCCAGGUUAUCUGAGAGGCCCUGGGGACAUGCCCACUGUUCCCAUGCUACGAUCUCUAACUGUGGAGCCCAGUAAGAUGCCACAUUCACUCCACCUCCCAAGGCCUUCUGUCUUCAGGUGGCAGAACAGCAGUGAACACAGAACUUAAUUGCAAGUCAUUCCUCACUUCACUGUUAAAGCCAAGGAAAUCUGGCAUCAGAGCCCUGGAUUUAUGAGUCGGGAAAUGGUGACGAGAAAAGUGAAAGGGGGAGGAAUUUAAAACACUGCAAGUCACCUGAUAUUGUUGCUCAUGCGGGAUGUUGCCAUGGCAUUUUCUGUUAAAUGUUUUCCUCUUGGUUCGUUGUGAUAUUCUCUCCACUUCUGUGUGCAGAGAGCCCCACUAACAAAAAGCAAGUGAAGUAUUAGAUAUCAUCCCCAUUAAGGGGGGGCAUAGCAGCGGCAAUGGGACCUACACAAUGGCUUCGCCCAUCGUGGAAAUGCAAACCUGUGUCCAACACGCUAUUUCUGAUCUUGAUCAAGGACCCAUUCCACCCAUUAUAAUAGGUUAUGGGGGUAAGUAUGCACUGCUAACAGGUCACUGCUGAUCCCUCCUUUUUUCUCAACAAGAAAAACAAAGAAUUUCCAAUUACUCCCCCCACCCCCCACCAUUGGACAAGUGCCCAGUGGCUCCCUGGGGACUCUGCUAGUGACUGUGGCAGAGUUCAUUCUUCCCUUGGCCGAGCCCUCCUUUGUGGCUGCUGAGUUGCCAAGCUCUGACCACUCUUCCUCCACGUCUUCUUGCAUUAAUCCCUUUCUUUCUGCUGCAAUUGUCCUUGGUGAAGUUCUCAUGUUUUCUCUGCUGGGCUUUGCUAUCUCUUCCCACUGGUUUCCCAGUAAUUGUAUCUAACCACCAUAAUCCAUUUUACGUGUGACUUUCAGUUUAGCCUUCCCGAUGAAUGCCCCCGAUCCUGUCACUCUUCCAUUCAAACACUCUUGGUGAAGAUCUGUUGCCCACUGGUCAGAGUCCAAACACAGUGCCUACUGCACUGCCUACUGACCAAAGUCCAGCAAAUAAAUGGCCAGCUUUGUUCAUAAAGAUUAAGUUGUCCAAUGACUCCCAAGUUACCCUGUGAAUAAAGGACCAAGAUCCAGAAAACUCCUCCCCUUCAUGGAACCCGUGGACCUGAAGUGGACUGCACUGGUGCUACCCACAUGGGUUUCUUUCCUAUAUAUGUUCCUCAUCACAACCAGGGAGUCCUUUCCGACAUCUCCCCUGAGUUAUCUCUCAGGCCCUUGAAAUCUGCUACCUCUAACUG